UACAUCCUACGGGACGCAGCAGUGAGGAAUAUUGGUCAAUGGCCGAGAGGCUGAACCAGCCAAGUCGCGUGAGGGAUGACGGCCCUACGGGUUGUAAACCUCUUUUGUCGGGGAGCAAGACCCGCCACGAGUGGCGGAGCGAGAGUACCCGAAGAAAAAGCAUCGGCUAACUCCGUGCCAGCAGCCGCGGUAAUACGGAGGAUGCGAGCGUUAUCCGGAUUUACUGGGUGUAAAGGGAGCGCAGACGGCUGUGCAAGUCUGGAGUGAAAGGCGGGGGGC
rnacentral:rRNA from 1 species